ACUAAACCGAACAGGGAAUGUACAACUGUAGAAGCUUGACCACCUUGUCUGUGUGUUCUGUGUCCCAAUCCAACAUCUCAAAGACUGUGUCAACUGUUUGUAGAAGCUUCACCACCUUCGUCCAAUCAAUUAUCAGUUUAUUACUUUACUUAUCUCUGCUUCUUUGUUAAUGGGUUUGGAUUUGAUCUUUUGGCUUGUGAUUUGUUUCCCUCUCAACGUUGCCUUUUUAGCCUCAGCGUUCUACCAGGUUUUGAUCUUGUCUGACUUGGAAUCCGACUUUGUCAACCCGUAUGAUGCUUCAUCUCGGAUUAAUUACUUCAUCCUUCCUGAGUUUAUUGGGCAAGGGCUAUUUUGCGCUCUCUGCCUUUUCACAGGUCAUUGGAUCAUGUUCUUGCUGACGGUUCCUGUUACAUGCUAUCAUGUGAUGCUGUACAUGAAACGACAGCAUCUCAUUGAUGUUACUGAAGUUUUUAGGGUACUUAAUGCAGAGAAGAAAUUUCGGAUUGCCAAACUUGCUUAUUACUUAACAAUCAUCAUUAUAACUGUCUUCAGGCUUGUAUUGAUGGGUGUCUACUAUUUAGAUUCUGAAGAUGAAUGAAGUCGACAAACCUUUGAUUUUUUAAUACCCACUACUUGUGCAAUAUGGCAACCCAUGUGUAAGUAUAAUUUUUAAGGCAACAUGUUACAUGGGGCUAAAGCUGGUGUUUUUGGACCUGAGAUAUACUUGCUACGUCUGAGCCCAAAACAUUGGUGGGUUGAGUUAGCUGUUAUACAUGGGCCUCAUACUCAUUAUUGUCAGCUUUUUGAUGCUCGAUUACCAGAACGUGAUAAAUAUGGAAGCCCAUAUAUAUAUAUAUAUAUUCCAUUUUGAUUUGCUUUAGGUUUUAGUUUGUUUAGAAAGGGAAAAUACAUAAUAGACUGAAAGAGUAAAGCAGUUUUACAUUACACUCUCAUCUAAUCAUAAAUUAUUAUGUAUG